AAGCAUUUCAAUGAGGGAAAGGCGUAAGGGAGGGGGGAGCUCGGUGACUAAUAAUGCAAAACUAUUGUGGGGUUUUUGUAUUCUUUUAAUUCAGGACCCGCCUUUUUAUAAUUGUCCCAAACAGCAGCGCUCGUUGUACAAUGCCUGACUCUAUUUCGUUUUCUUUUCGCCGUGAGGGGCUCAUUGCAUGUCAAUGGCAAUACAAAUGCGCCGAGUGAGGGAGCAUGUUGGCGCCCUAAUACCGAAAUCUAUGGUUGGGGCUGGGAGUUUACUAAUUGCGAGAACUUCUGAACAAACAGGGGUUUAACCCCCCCCCCUCCCUUUUAGCACAUUCCUGAAGUCGAGGGAGGAGGGGUGGGAUCAAACCAAGUUAAGGCGCCAAAUCUGCUUGGCAUGGGGUGAAACCAUCCUACAAGGUGGGGGUGUCAUCGUGAGAAAUAGUUUGUAUAUGUUUGUUUUAAGCUGCUACAGCAGAACAAAAAAAAAAAAAAGAAGAUUAAAUUAAAUCUACAGCCUGCAUUGCCAUCAUGGCUAAACAGCUUCUGUACAACAGGCAGAAUACAAUGCCAGCUUGAUGUUUAAUGCUCCCCAGAACACAAGGCACAGCGAAGGAGUGGCCUUGUGUGUAAGAUACUGGAAUCUGAUUCAGCUCCUUGUGGAGUCAUCUGCCACAGGACCACACAAGAGCCUGGCUAAUGACAAAUAAGAUCAAAAUGGACAUGCAUCUAUUUACAAUUCCAGUUUGGACAGUGACCAAUGAGAGACAUCUGCUGAUUUGGUAGGAGAAAAAGUUUGUUACUUAAGCAAAUUCCAGAACCAUGUCUGGAGCAAUGGAUAAUGCAUGGUAUAUGAUUAACUAGGCACAGGAUAAAUGUGGCACCAGUCAUAGGUGUAGGGCAGGAGCUGCAGGGCCAGAAUCCAUGUGUAUUGCACUGGAACAGUACUUGUUAAAGCAAGGUGUACCUAUGCUAUUACUGAAGAGAGCAUGUGUGUUUGCAAGUGCAUUCUAAGGCUGGGAAAGUCUCCAAUGUCUACAAAAGGGUUGAAGAUCUGCCUAUCCCAAUCUGUGACCUCGCACACAAACCCAUGUGAUGUCACAGUUUGACUCCACCUCAAUCCAGGCAGCAAAGUGUGCCAGAAAACCUUUUGCUUACCGUAUUGAGCAAGGAUGGUCAGAUAUCAGCAGUGUCCAGAUAGGUGCAGCCGUCAUAAGGCCUGGCACUCCGCCAUCUGCAUGCCCCUGUGCAGCCAAAGCUAGUUGCAUGUAAGAGUAGGGUCUCGACAUGAUUAAACAAUGCACCCACCCAAAUUCAGGCAGGGCAUGAGUAACAUGUACCCCUGUAUCUCCCAGGGUCAGUGCUUCCCUUGCCCUGCCCCUGAGGUAUGGAGUCUAGCCCUUUAGCUAGAUCAGCUUGCUUACCUCAUGGCUUUCCUGAGCCCCACUAACCUCUCAGAAUGCAGCACUGCAGCUCUGUGCAUCCUACCCAACUAACCAAGAGCCCCUAGCUCUUGGUUAUGAUUUUUAGAAUGUGGAGUUUUUAUUAUUCCCUCCCCUUAUUAGUUACAGGGUAUGCAUUAAAAAUAAAGAAAAAAAAAGCAUACAGAAUGGCGACAAAAAAUGAAACCCCAGCCAAUUUUUAUUACAUUCUCAUUAUUACUGUGCUGGAAUUAAUUUUUUUAUUUUUCAGUUUCACAUGCUGUGGCAGAAUAAGAGUUAAAGUAUUAAAUUUGUUUCUGUUUGUAUAAAGGUUUGAAUAUGAGGUCCAUGAGGACUGUUUAUCUCUUUGGUUUCCAAGUCAGGCAUAGUAACCUUCACUUCUAAUGGCCUGAGAGUAGUGCAGAGCUGCUAGGGCAAAGCCACUAUAUAAACAGUUUCUCCUAGUGACCGCAUUGACCUCACAACAUGAAUGAAGCAGCCACGAGAGGUCAGCAGGGAUAGUGAGGAUAGGACUGUUCAUACAAUGCUCAGCGCCAGUAAAUAAGCUAUUUAUUCCCCUAUUUGGGUUUCUAAGUAGUUUUACAGCUGGCUCUGAACUGCAGAUUAUGUGCAAGGUUGAUCAGGAAAAUGAGUAUGGGCUUAGCUUGGGAGAUACAUUAUUAGCCUAUUUAUAUAGUGCCAGCACUUUCUGCAUUCAUUCCCAUCAGUCCCAUCCCCAAAGGAGCUUACAAUCUAAGGUCCUUAUAACAUUCACACACGCUAGGGUUGAAAUGAUCAGGAAAGUGUGAGAAAACCCACACUUUAUGUACUACUCUAUUAAGGCUAUAGAAACAGGAGCAAGACUGUAUAUUGGGGAUCCUCAACCUUUUUUUUACCUGCGAGCCACAUUCAAAUGUGGGGUCAACCCGAGGGCCGCCCAUGGUUACAACUUAAGGUGGCCACACACGGGCUGAUCGAAGAUGCCGAUAUUGGUCCCUUAGACUGAUUCAGCAGCUUAUCGCCCCAUGUAGGGGCACAAACGACGGGCCUGCCCGACUGUCAUCGGGCCUCAAAGAUAUCAAUCGUGCAGUUUAAAAAUUUUAGUCGGACCAGGGACCGCAUCAGCU